rnacentral:RNase_P_RNA from 1 species
UCAGUUGAUCGGGCAACCGCUGUUUUGUUGCAAAUAUUAUUUUUGUAACAAAAGGGAGGAAAGUCCGGGCUCCAUAGGGCAGAAUGCCAGGUAAUGCCUGGGCGGCGUGAGUCGACGGAAAGUGCCACAGAAAAUAAACCGCCUUGAAUAUACUUAGAUAUGCUCAAGGUAAGGGUGAAAAGGUGCGGUAAGAGCGCACCGCGCCACUGGUAACAGUGUGUGGCAGGGUAAACCCCGUUCGGAGCAAAACCAAAUAGGGAUGCUAUGGUGUGGCCCGCAUUGCAUUCGGGUAGGUUGCUUGAGGCCUAUGGCGACAUAGGUUCUAGAUGAAUGGUUGUCCACGACAGAACCCGGCUUACAGAUCGACUGUAUUU